rnacentral:rRNA from 1 species
CACGUAGGGGCCAAGCGUUGUCCGGAUUUAUUGGGCGUAAAGAGCUCGUAGGCAGUUCGACAAGUCGGGUGUGAAAACUCCGGGCUCAACCCGGAGACGCCACCCGAUACUGUCGUGACUGGAGUCCGGUAGGGGAGUGGGGAAUUCCUGGUGUAGCGGUGGAAUGCGCAGAUAUCAGGAGGAACACCGGUGGCGAAGGCGGGUCUCUGGGCAGUAACUGACGCUGAGGAGCGAAAGCGUGGGGAGCGAACAGG